AUGAAACUGUUAGACUUGAGAAUGGACGAGGUAGGCGGAAUUCGUAGUGUAGCGGUGAAAUGCAUAGAUAUUACGAAGAACUCCAAUAGUGUAGACUGCUUACCAGACCAUAUCUGACACUAAGGCACGAAAGUGUGGGUAUCAAACAGGAUUAGAUACCCUGGUAGUCCACACAGUAAACGAUGAAUACUAACUGUUUGCGAUAUACAGCAAGUGGUCGAGCGAAAGCGUUAAGUAUUCCACCUGGGAAGUAUGCCGGCAACGGUGAAACUCAAAGGAAUUGACGGGGGCCCGCACAAGCGGAGGAACAUGUGGUUUAAUUCGAUAAUACGCGAGGAACCUUACCCGGGCUCGAACGAUAUUUGAAUACAUCCGAAAAGAUGUAGCUAGCAAUAGCAAAUACCGAGGUGCUGCAUGGUUGUCGUCAGCUCGUGCCGUGAGGUGUCGACUUAAGUGUCAUAACGAGCGCAACCCUUACCGAUAGUUACCAUCAGAUAAUGCUGGGGACUCUAUUGGGACUGCCACCGUAAGGUGUGAGGAAGGAGAGGAUGACGUCAAAUCAGCACGGCCCUUAUGUCCGGGGCGACACACGUGUUACAAUGGGAGAAACAAAGGGUCGCUACCUGGCAACAGGAUGCUAAUCUCGAAAAUCUCUCUCAGUUCGGAUUGGAGUCUGCAACUCGACUCCAUGAAGCUGGAUUCGCUAGUAAUCGCACAUCAGCCAUGGUGCGGUGAAUACGUUCCCGGGCCUUGUACACACCGCCCGUCAAGCCAUGGAAGCUGGAAGUACCUGAAGUAUGUAACUAAAAGAGCGUCCUAAGU
rnacentral:rRNA from 1 species